AACGAACGCUGGCGGCAGGCCUAACACAUGCAAGUCGAGCGAGGACUUCGGUCCUAGCGGCGGACGGGUGAGUAACGCGUGGGAACGUGCCCUUUGCUACGGAAUAGCCCCGGGAAACUGGGAGUAAUACCGUAUGUGCCCUUCGGGGGAAAGAUUUAUCGGCAAAGGAUCGGCCCGCGUUGGAUUAGGUAGUUGGUGGGGUAAUGGCCUACCGAGCCGACGAUCCAUAGCUGGUUUGAGAGGAUGAUCAGCCACACUGGGACUGAGACACGGCCCAGACUCCUACGGGAGGCAGCAGUGGGGAAUCUUAGACAAUGGGGGAAACCCUGAUCUAGCCAUGCCGCGUGAGCGAUGAAGGCCUUAGGGUUGUAAAGCUCUUUCAGUGGGAAAGAUAAUGACGGUACCCACAGAAGAAGCCCCGGCUAACUCCGUGCCAGCCGCCGCCGUAAGAC
rnacentral:rRNA from 1 species